UACGGAGGGUGCAAGCGUUGUCCGGAUUUAUUGGGUUUAAAGGGUGCGUAGGCGGCCUCUUAAGUCAGUGGUGAAAGCCCGCGGCUCAACCGCGGAACUGCCAUUGAUACUGGGAGGCUUGAGUACAGACGAGGUAGGCGGAAUUGAAGAUGUAGCGGUGAAAUGCUUAGAUAUCUUCAAGAACACCGAUUGCGUAGGCAGCUCGCUGUGCCGAAACUGACGCUGAGGCACGAAAGCGUGGGGAGCGAACAGG
rnacentral:rRNA from 1 species